UACGAAGGGUGCAAGCGUUACUCGGAAUUACUGGGCGUAAAGCGUGCGUAGGCGGUUUGUUAAGUCUGUCGUGAAAGCCCUGGGCUCAACCUGGGAAUUGCGAUGGAUACUGGCAAGCUAGAGUACGGUAGAGGAUGGUGGAAUUCCCGGUGUAGCGGUGAAAUGCGUAGAGAUCGGGAGGAACACCCGUGGCGAAGGCGGCCAUCUGGACCAGUACUGACGCUGAGGAACGAAAGCGUGGGAGCAAACAGG
rnacentral:rRNA from 1 species